rnacentral:rRNA from 1 species
CGGAGGAAAAGAAACUAACCAGGAUUCCCUUAGUAACGGCGAGCGAAGCGGGAACAGCUCAAAUUUGAAAUCUCCGGUGCCUGCACCGGCGAAUUGUAGUCUGUAGGGCCAGUUUCGCCCGACGCGGUGUCCCCAAAGUCGUCCUGGAAAGGCGGGCCGGAGAGGGUGAGAGCCCCGUAUGCGGGGGCGCCGUGGAAGGUAAGAUCUGUGCCCGAAGAGUCGGGUUGUUUGGGAUUGCAGCCCAAAAUGGGUGGUAAACUCCAUCUAAAGCUAAAUACUGGCACGAGACCGAUAGCGAACAAGUACCGUGAGGGAAAGAUGAAAAGCACUUUGAAAAGAGAGUCAAACAGUACGUGAAACCGUCGGUAGGGAAACGAACGAGGUUGGUGCAGUGAUUGCGUAGGCUCAGGCUGUGCCGAAGGUGCCGUCAGGGUGACCGACGUGUCCCCGGGCGUCCACCGGAGGCGGAGCCGUACUCCUCGCGAGCACGGACCAGCGGCGGUUGGCGUGGGGCCAAGAGGUGGUCGGGACGGUGUGUCGGGUCGGGUUCGCCCGCUCGACAACUUACAGCCCGGCGUGCUGGCGCUCCACGUCGACCGAGGAAGGAGGGCAGCUCUUGCCCGUCUGUGGUGCACGCCGUACGGCGGGGCCUCCCGUCGAGGGCGAGCCGUGCAGGGUGGACUGCGUGCAGUGCUCACUGACGCGGCGGACCCACUUCGGAGAGUGUCACUUGUGCGCCAGUGCUGCUGGUAUUGGGACGGCCUCGUCCGACCCGUCUUGAAACACGGACCAAGGAGUGCAACAUGUGCGCGAGCCCUUUGGCAAGUAAACCAGAAGGCGUAAUGAAAGUGAAGGCACGGUCGCCGUGCUGAGGUGAGAGCCGGCCCCGGCGGGACGGCACAUCAUCGACCGAUCCCAUCCGCGCUGCUCGCAGUGCGGCGGGAUUCGAGUAAGAGUGUACCUGUUGCGACCCGAAAGAUGGUGAACUAUGCCUGAAUAGGGUGAAGCCAGAGGAAACUCUGGUGGAGGCCCGUAGCGAUUCUGACGUGCAAAUCGAUCGUCAAAUUUGGGUAUAGGGGCGAAAGACUAAUCGAACCAUCUAGUAGCUGGUUCCCUCCGAAGUUUCCCUCAGGAUAGCUGUAGCCCGAAGCAGUUUUAUCAGGUAAAGCGAAUGAUUAGAGGUAUCGGGGAAGAAACUUCCUCGACCUAUUCUCAAACUUUAAAUAGGUAAGAAGUCCGACUUGCUUAAUCUGAAGCCGGACACAGAAUGCUGGGUUACUAGUGGGCCAUUUUUGGUAAGCAGAACUGGCGAUGCGGGAUGAACCGAACGCAGAGUUAAGGUGCCAAAGUCGACGCUCAUCAGAUCCCACAAAAGGUGUUGGUUGAUAUAGACAGCAGGACGGUGGCCAUGGAAGUCGGAAUCCGCUAAGGAGUGUGUAACAACUCACCUGCCGAAUCAACUAGCCCUGAAAAUGGAUGGCGCUCAAGCGUCGCACCCAUACUCUGCCGUCGGGGCAAGAGCGAGGCCCCGACGAGUAGGAGGGCGCGGUGGUGGUGAUGCAGCCUUUGGCGCGAGCCUGGGUCAAACCGCCACUGGUGCAGAUCUUGGUGGUAGUAGCAAAUAUUCAAAUGAGAGCUUUGAAGACUGAAGUGGAGAAAGGUUCCAUGUGAACAGCAGUUGGACAUGGGUUAGUCGGUCCUAAGAGAUAGGGUAACUCCGUUUGAAAAGCGUGCAGUCCUUCGGGUGUGCACCGUCCUGUCGAAAGGGAAUCGGGUCAAUAUUCCCGAACCGGAACACGGAUGUGGUGCUCUCGGGCACCAAAGCGGCAACGCAAACGAACUCGGAGACGCCGGCGGGAGCCCCGGGAAGAGUUCUCUUUUCUUCUUAACAUGCUGUCACCCUGAAAUCGGUUUGCCCGGAGAUAGGGUCACAUGCCUGGUAAAGCGCCACACCUCUUGUGGCGUCCGGUGCGCUCUCGACGGCCCGUGAAAAUCCGAGGGAGCAGAUGAUUAUCGUGUCCGGCC